rnacentral:rRNA from 1 species
GAGAUUCCCCCAGUAGCGGCGAGCGAACGGGGAGCAGCCCAGAGCCUGAAUCAGUGUGUGUGUUAGUGGAAGCGUCUGGAAAGGCGCGCGAUACAGGGUGACAGCCCCGUACACAAAAAUGCACAUAAUGUGAGCUCGAUGAGUAGGGCGGGACACGUGGUAUCCUGUCUGAAUAUGGGGGGACCAUCCUCCAAGGCUAAAUACUCCUGACUGACCGAUAGUGAACCAGUACCGUGAGGGAAAGGCGAAAAGAAC